UGCCAGCAGCCGCGGUAAUACGGAAGGUCCAAGCGUUAAUCGGAAUCACUGGGCGUAAAGCGCGCGUAGGUGGUUUAUUAAGUUGGAUGUGAAAUCCCCGGGCUCAACCUGGGAACUGCAUCCAAAACUGAUUCACUAGAGUACGAUAGAGGGAGGUAGAAUUCACAGUGUAGCGGUGGAAUGCGUAGAUAUUGUGAAGAGCACCAGUGGCGAAGGCGCUCUGCUGGGCCAUCACUGACGCUCAUGGACGAAGGCCAGGGGAGCGAAAGGGAUUAGAUA
rnacentral:rRNA from 1 species